UGGGGAAUAUUGGACAAUGGGGGCAACCCUGAUCCAGCCAUGCCGCGUGUGUGAAGAAGGCCUUUUGGUUGUAAAGCACUUUAAGCAGUGAAGAAGACUCCAUGGUUAAUACCCAUGGACGAUGACAUUAGCUGCAGAAUAAGCACCGGCUAACUCUGUGCCAGCAGCCGCGGUAAUACAGAGGGUGCAAGCGUUAAUCGGAAUUACUGGGCGUAAAGCGAGCGUAGGUGGCUUGAUAAGUCAGAUGUGAAAGCCCCGGGCUUAACCUGGGAACGGCAUCUGAUACUGUUAGGCUAGAGUAGGUGAGAGGAAGGCAGAAUUCCAGGUGUAGCGGUGAAAUGCGUAGAGAUCUGGAGGAAUACCGAUGGCGAAGGCAGCCUUCUGGCAUCAUACUGACACUGAGGUUCGAAAGCGUGGGUAGCAAACA
rnacentral:rRNA from 1 species